GGAAAAUUGAAAAGAGUACUCCUACUUACGAAGUAAAAAAAAGGUAGCUGUAAAACACCUUAGGCAAGUCCUUUAGAAGGUAUUCCAGAAGAAGACAUUAUUAUCCUAGAGUAUGACAACCCCCUGCAUGUUACUGCCCUGAAGACCUUCCAGUGGGACAAGAUAUGGAGGUGGAAAACAGUGAUAUCAAUGAUCCUAACCCCGGGGGUUUGGAAAUUGAUGAAUCAUCCUACGCUGCAGCAUUCAAACUAGCUGUGUGCUUGACAUGGGGGAGGAAAAGUGGACUCUUUGAAAUGCGAGCUGAGUACAGAUCAUUCCACCUGCCCUGUGCGUGUCCUGUUCACUCUCCACUUGACCCUCUGUGCUCAACGUCACCUGGAGUCUGAAAUCUGGAAGCAGAAAGUCCUUGACUGGAGUCAGUGGAGAGAAAAUCAUCACCUGUUUGGGCACAAACAGGCCUGGUGACUGCGUCACUGUUUGUUAAGUGAGAUCAGCUAAUAGUUGCACAGCGGGCCUUCAAAGCAUGGCUGUGGGGCCGAGGAAGUUUCUGUAAUGCACUGUCUGUGCUAAGGCCUUGGACUUUAGAGCUCAAGUGCACCCAGCGCAUUUGGAGCUUGUUGACAGCCUCUCCCGUGGAUUCUAUUUGGUUAAACGGCAGUGGCAAAGAAUUGAUUUUCGUUUCCAUCAUGCUUUGCCUGAGUCUCUCUUUAGCCACACUCUUGCUUCCUGGCUUUUGGGCGAGUUGGUCCCUCUGCCUGGGACACCCUUUCCUCCGGAUAACAGCAUGGCUUCCUUUUAGUUAUCUACUUGCAAAUCACCUCCUUGAAGACCUCUUAGGCUGUUCCCUUUCUUCUUACCCAGCCUCAUCUUUCUUCAUAACACCUGAUAUUAUUUUGCGUAUUUAUUUGGUUAGUCGCCUGUCGUUUACCUUCCCCCACCGGAGUAUAAAUUCCCUGAAGGCAAGAGACACUCAUCUGUUUUGUCCACUGAUGUGUUCCCACUGUCCACAAGAGUACCUGGCCCAUCCUAGACCCUCCAGAAAUAUUUCUUGAAUAAGUGAACAAAUGAACAUGUACAGAAAUGAUUUCCCCUCAUUUUAUAAAUGAAAAACCUAAAAAACUGGGAGGGUCAAUAAAGUAGUCAAGUUUAAUGAACAGGUAGUGGCAGAGUUAGGAUUA